rnacentral:rRNA from 1 species
GACGAACGCUGGCGGCGUGCUUAACACAUGCAAGUCGAACGGAAAGGCCCUGCUUUUGUGGGGUGCUCGAGUGGCGAACGGGUGAGUAACACGUGAGUAACCUGCCCUUGACUUUGGGAUAACUUCAGGAAACUGGGGCUAAUACCGGAUAGGAGCUCCUGCUGCAUGGUGGGGGUUGGAAAGUUUCGGCGGUUGGGGAUGGACUCGCGGCUUAUCAGCUUGUUGGUGGGGUAGUGGCUUACCAAGGCUUUGACGGGUAGCCGGCCUGAGAGGGUGACCGGCCACAUUGGGACUGAGAUACGGCCCAGACUCCUACGGGAGGCAGCAGUGGGGAAUAUUGCACACUGGGCGGAAGCCUGAUGCAGCAACGCCGCGUGCGGGAUGACGGCCUUCGGGUUGUAACCCGCUUUCGCCUGUGCCGAAGCGUGAGUGACGGUAAUGGGUAAAGAAGCACCGGCUAACUACGUG